rnacentral:rRNA from 1 species
CCUACGGGAGGCUGCAGUGAGGAAUAUUGGUCAAUGGACGAGAGUCUGAACCAGCCAAGUAGCGUGAAGGAUGACUGCCCUAUGGGUUGUAAACUUCUUUUAUAUGGGAAUAAAACGUUCCACGUGUGGGCUUUUGUAUGUACCAUAUGAAUAAGGAUCGGCUAACUCCGUGCCGGCAGCCGCGGUAAGACGGAGGAGCCGAGCGUUAUGCGGAUUUAUUGGGUUUAAAGGGAACGUAGGUGGAUUGUUAAGUCAGUUGUGAAAGUUUACGGCUCAACCGUAAAAUUGCAGUUGAAACUGGCAGGCUUGAGUACAGUAGAGGUGGGCAGAAUUCGUGGUGUAGCGGUGAAAUGCUUAGAGAUCACGAAGAACUCCGAUUGCGAAGGCAGUUCACUGGACUGAAACUGACACUCAGGUUCGAAAGUGUGGGUAUCAAACAGGAUUAGAUACCCGAGUAGUC